AUAUGAAACUGGAGAUGCAAAUUGUUCACACAAAGCAACUAUAAGUGGAAUACACAACUGAUGUUUCUGAAUCUGUGCAGUGUGCGCUCACUGAACUUGUUAAAUAUGCUAACAUUUAGUCAAGGGUCAGAUUUGAACUGAUGUUUGGGCUAAGAAUCCUUCAUUGAGCUGAAUUCAUAAUCCAGUUGACACACACAUCUGCAAUGCACUGUUUUUUUUUUUGGUUUUGCUUAGGGUUGCAACUGUAAUAUUACUUAGGAAUGGAAUGAGGAGGGCGUGGAAGAUGAAUUAUGUUUGUCAUGUGGGACAACUGUUUGCCUCAAAAGGAAUACCCCAGCAGAUACAUGUGGCCUGCAUAUGGGAACACAGUCAAUAUUUUUGGACAACAUGGUUUGCUGAUUUUUUGGAAAAAAGGGAAACUGUCUCCAUCCGCAGUGAUAAGCUGAUCAUCUGGACUGUGCUUGAAAAUGGAGCAUACGAGGAUGCAUAUGUUUCCUGCAUAUUCUAAAUAAAAGUGCCUAAAAAUGAAGUACAAUCUUGGUCCUGAUUGUUUAUAAGAGCUUUUCAGCCUCAUGUUAGGCACUGUCUGAUGAUAAGGAGUCCAUAGGAUAAAUUGAGAGUUGAGUUAUUUUCAUUUGUAGUAGCUUAUGCGCAUGGUAAAUGUGUUCCUCUCUGAUGUUUUUCUUUUGGGCUGGGGGCGUACACUUAUCUGCCAGGUACACAACUUCCAAGCCAUACCUGAGAAAAACAAAUACAGCAAUGGUUGGCACUUGGCAGUGAUAUUAUCAAUCGAUAUUUUGCAGGAAUUCACAUAGCAGGUGAUUGCAUAGGGGGUGCAUUUGUGUGCCUGAUUUUUCAUCAGACAUCUAUAUCAAUUGUUUACAUGUUAGUUAGUGUUGCAUUUGGAAAUUAAGGUUGGCAAUUGUCUUCGACAUUUGGUGAGAAUAUUAGUGGAAUUUAUUGAGCUUGUAAUGAAGACUGUGUGUCAUGAGAAGCGCAUGGGAUGAUAGUAGGUAUCAGAUGGCUUUGUGUUAGUGACUUCAGGGUGUGAGUAAUAUUGCAUCAUGGAUAGAUGAUCAGGGUGUUAGUGACUCAGCAUAACUAAAAUUGAAUAUAUGAGAUGUGACUUUGGCACUACUACACAUGAGGAGGGAGAUGUCAGUUUGGAAAGCCAAGUAGUGCCCAGGAAGGAUACAUUUCGAUAUUUGGGAUCAAUGCUAAAAGCCAAGAUGGGGUUAUUGAUGAGGAUGUUAGUCAUAGAAUCAAAACGGGGUGGAUGAAGUGGUGCCAAGCAUCAGGAAUUUGAUUGACAAGAGGGUACCAUUGAAGGUAAAAGGCAAGUUUUGUAGGACGACGAUUAGACCUGCAAUGCUGUAUGGUACAGAAUGUUGACCUACAAAAAGACAACAUGUCCAGCAGAUAAGUGUUGCAGAAAUGCGUAUGUUGUGUUGGAUUUGUGGUCAUACGAGAAGGGAUCGAGUCCGGAACGAGGAUAUACGUGAUAGGUUAGGGGUAGCACCAAUUGUAGCACCAAUUGAAGAAAAGCUUAUCCAACACCGGCUGAGUGGUUUGGACAUGUCCAACAAAGGCUUCCGGAGGCACCGUGGAACCCUGAGGCAUGACAAUAAUGUGAAGAGAGGCAGAGGAAGACCAAAAUUGACAUGGGAAGAGGCAAUAAAAGGAGAUUUGAAGGGAUGGAAUAUACCCAAAGAUUUAGCCCUGGAUAGGAGUACUUGGAAAACAACUAUUCAUGUGCCUGAACCCUGAUUUGUGGCUCUUGUUGGGUUUCAACUCUAGCCUACCCCAACUUGCUUGGGACUGAAAGGCUAUGUUGUUGUUGUUGUUGUUUGUGAUGGAUAGAUGAUCAGGGAACUGAGGUCGCUUGCAGAACAGUUCUGGAUAUUUGAUGCAAUUAACAGUGGCUUCAUGAUGAAAUAAAAAUACAAUGUGUAGUCCAUAGUACUUAGUAAGUGUCAGCUAGAGCUUGAAGAUACCCAUAUUCAUUCAUGCUCAUACAUGAUGUCACGCAUUUUCCUUGCCCCAGCAAUUGACCAUAUUUUGAUACUGUCCCUAUCUUCUGUUACAUAAUGAUGUUAUCUUCUCUGCAACAUUGUUCCAGGCGAUGUGGAGCUCACAAACAUGCAAUUGAAGCCAGAAGCGCUCAAUUCAUUGAAGUUACCUGUUAGAGUCAAAGCUGGUUUCCUUGGUUCAGUGAAGCUCAAGGUUUGUAGUAAUUUCUUUGCUCUAGUAUAAAUGCAGAACUAUUUUGCUGUAUUUGUGAUUUUAUGAUUCUUUGUAAUAAGGAGUGGGAUAAAGGAUGUUCAUGUCAAUGAUUGUUAGGUUCCAUGGAGCAGGCUCGGACAGGAGCCAGUUUUGGUUUAUCUUGAUCGAAUUUUUAUACUAGCUGAACCAGCAACACAAGUUGAAGGUUGUAGUGAGGAUGCUGUCCAGGAAGCAAAAAGAAGUAGAGUUCGGGUAAUAAACUUCUGAUGGUAGCUAAGUGAUUUUUGCAAUUAAGGCCAGAUCCGUGCAAGUACUGAUUUGUUUGUUAUUUGCAGGAAAUGGAGAUAAAGUUAUUGGAGCGCCAGCAGCAACUGAAAUCUGAACUAGUAUGUGCUAGUACCUAGUUCUGUAUUAUUGUUUAUUUGACCUGCUGUUGAAAUCUGAACUAGUAUGUGCCAGUAACAAGUUCUGAACUAGAUUAUGACCAUGGACCAGUAAUGGUGCAUAUUUUACCUGCUGUUGUGUGGUUUUUAGAUACUUUGUUUAUUUCUCACUGCAAUUUUCUUUCUUUGAAGAAUUCAUCAUGGCUUGGAUCUUUCAUUAGCACUGUAAUUGGAAAUAUCAAGUUAUCUAUCGGCAAUAUUCAUAUAAGAUACGAAGAUGUAGAGAGGUAAUGCAAUUCUGUUUGGUGGAUUUAUCUUUUGUGAUGCAUAUUAAAAUACCAUGACUUUCCUGUAGCAAUCCAGGCCACCCUUUCGCAGCAGGUCUGGUACUUUCAAAACUUUCGGCAGUUACUGUGGAUGACCUUGGCAAGGAGACUUUUGCCACUGGUGGGGAUUUGGACCGAGUAAAAAAGGUACCUUGUUCCUAAGUUCUACAUUUUGUGUGCACGUUUAGUCAGAUAUUACUUCAUGUCUGCUGUCAACAUCUGGUAGUUCAGUUUUGUUUUUGCUAUCCAUGGGUAAUUCUUUUAUUCAAAAGAUACAUGAGCAAACGCUUGUGGCAUUUCUUUGACAUAUCCAUCUUCCAUCUCCAAAAAUGGUGAUUUUCUGUUUUUGCAUAUCAGAAUAUUAGGUUCCAAAGUAACAACUAUGAUUAAUUUUUCAGUUUUGUAAUUUUGCUGGUAUAUUUGUUUGCGCAAAGGUUUCUGCACCUAGAAUGAAUUGUGUUCACUUCAACAGUGAAUACAUUAUUUUGAUUUUGGGAGCAUUUGGCAUAUUUUUUUUUUCGGUUUGGCUUUUCUUUUCCUUUCAAUCAUCUUGCACAGCUUCUUUCUUACUUGCCUUUGGUAGCUUACUAGUUAAAAUAUUUCUGCAGUCUGUUGAACUUGAGAGUCUGGCGAUGUAUUUCAACUCUGAUAGCAGUCCUUGGACUGUGGAUAAGCCCUGGGAGGAUUUAUUGCCAUCAGAAUGGAGUCAGGUAUUCCAGUUGUGUUCAUUUGCAAAUAAAGACCCUGGGCCUGAGAGUAAAAAUCUGCAUAGAGACAGUUGCUCCCCCCUUUUUUUACAAUAUCUGCCAGAACAGCCACAUGGUGGAUUGAUGGGUAGGCAUAGUGCUAUACUGAGGUUUAGUGGGAGGUCUUCUAUUCUUCCAUUAUUUGCAUCAAGUUACAUGACAGAUAUUUGUUGUUUUAUGAAAUGUAUUUCAGAUUUUCGAGUUUUCGGAGCAGGGUCGUUCCAGAUCUACUUCAAAAAAGCACAGUUACAUUUUACAACCUGUAUCUGGCAAAGCAAAAUAUACAAAAAUACAACUUACUGAGGCAAAGAAAACAGGACAGGCAUUGCAAAAUGCUGCUGUUGAUUUGGAUGAUGUUACUCUUUCAUUAUCGAAGGUCUUUACUCUUGUCUUUUCUCUUUGAAUCUUAUCCAAAGUUCUGUGAACAUUAAUACCUUUUCCUCUAACCAGGACGGCUACAGGGACUUCCUGAAGAUGGCUGACAAUUUCUCUUCUUUUAACCAACGGUUGAGAUAUGCUCAUCUCCGGCCUUCUUUACCAGUAAAAUCAGAUCCACAGGCGUGGUGGAAGUAUGCAUGCAAGGUGGUGACUCAGGAAAUAAAGAAAUCUAGGUAUUUUGCACAUUCUUCUCCGACUUCAAAUUCAUAUAUGGAUAGAGGUGGGAAUGGAUUGAGGUCCAUGUCCAAUAUAGAGAAAUCCAGUUAAAAUCCAAGAAAAAUCAUCCAAUAUCCAAUCCAAUCUUAAUGUAAAAUGACUAAUGUCUAAUCCAAUCUAACUAAGAAAAGAUCAUCUCAUUGGGGACAUCUUAUGGGGUAGACGUACGAAAGAAAAUAACCGGUGAGUUAGUAGAGUAGAUCCAACUUCUUUUUAGUCCAAGUUCAUCCAAAAGAUCCAAUAAUAAAAAUUUAGUAUAACUACUAUAUAUAGGCCAAGGUCAAGAGUCGGACCCUAAAAUUUAAACCUCGCGUUCACACUUCAAAGUUUCAGCAAAAUUGGUUGAAAUUUGUUAGAGAUGGUUCAGUAUGAUAGUCUAGUCUGCUACUUCAUGUAAUUAGUGUGGCUAGAUUCACGUGGGCCCACAUCCAGAUCCGGACCCAUAACUAAAACCUCGCUUUCACACCUUAAAAUUUCAGCGAAUUGACUGAAACUUGUUGGAGAUGGCUCACUACAUUAGCUAGCCAGCUACAUCGUGCAGAUUGGCAUGGCUAGAGUAACAUGUGGGACCUGCAUCAAGAGCUGGACCCUAAAACUAAAACCUCGCGUCCACACCUUAAAAUUCAGCGAAAUGACUGAAAUUUGUGAGAUGCUAACAAAAUCAGCCAGGUACUUCNNNNNNNNNNNNNNNNNNNNNNNNNNNNNNNNNNNNNNNNNNNNNNNNNNNNNNNNNNNNNNNNNNNNNNNNNNNNNNNNNNNNNNNNNNNNNNNNNNNNNNNNNNNNNNNNNNNNNNNNNNNNNNNNNNNNNNNNNNNNNNNNNNNNNNNNNNNNNNNNNNNNNNNNNNNNNNNNNNNNNNNNNNNNNNNNNNNNNNNNNNNNNNNNNNNNNNNNNNNNNNNNNNNNNNNNNNNNNNNNNNNNNNNNNNNNNNNNNNNNNNNNNNNNNNNNNNNNNNNNNNNNNNNNNNNNNNNNNNNNNNNNNNNNNNNNNNNNNNNNNNNNNNNNNNNNNNNNNNNNNNNNNNNNNNNNNNNNNNNNNNNNNNNNNNNNNNNNNNNNNNNNNNNNNNNNNNNNNNNNNNNNNNNNNNNNNNNNNNNNNNNNNNNNNNNNNNNNNNNNNNNNNNNNNNNNNNNNNNNNNNNNNNNNNNNNNNNNNNNNNNNNNNNNNNNNNNNNNNNNNNNNNNNNNNNNNNNNNNNNNNNNNNNNNNNNNNNNNNNNNNNNNNNNNNNNNNNNNNNNNNNNNNNNNNNNNNNNNNNNNNNNNNNNNNNNNNNNNNNNNNNNNNNNNNNNNNNNNNNNNNNNNNNNNNNNNNNNNNNNNNNNNNNNNNNNNNNNNNNNNNNNNNNNNNNNNNNNNNNNNNNNNNNNNNNNNNNNNNNNNNNNNNNNUCUGGUGUGCUUUUAGUCGCUCAUGUACCCUCUUCCCCAGGAAAGAUCAGUGAAUAUCACCUGCUCUGCCCCCCCACCCCCACCCCCCUUUCUUUCCUGACGAACAUGCUCACUUGUUCCUGAGCAUGUUACCAUGUAUUGAAUCUUCUCAAAAUUAUUUCUAGUCCAUGAUGUUUUGCAUGCAACUGUGCCAGAAAAUCUCUGAUUCUUAAAUAGGUCAUUUUUGCUGUUUGAGCUUUCUUUCCCUUUUUUUGAGCUCAAGAUGUAUUGCAUUAUGUAGUCGCUUGAGCAGCACAUGUUUUUGAUUCUUCACUUUUUCAAUUUAUAAUCCAUGAAGCAGUUUGGAUGCAUUUUGCACGCGAUUCAAAAUUCAUGUGCUUAUACUGCGCCGUUUAUCCCAUUGCUGAUUGUAGAUUCCUUUAUUCAGUUAUAUUUAAUCUUCUUACCUUAUGUAGGAUGCUGGCUCACAAGUUUGUAGAACAGUCAGCAGAAGCGUAUCAGUAUGCUCAACAAAAUAAAAAGCAAUCCUGGUGGUCAUUUGGAUGGUUGAUUUCUGGCCCAUACAAUCUUAUUGUUUCUGAAUUGUUAAAUAUGUGGUAAUUAAUCUUUGUUCUUCAUACAGGACUGGCUCUUCAAAGGACGAGGAAGAUUCAAAGAGUUUUACUGAUGAAGAUUGGGAAAGAUUAAAUCGGAUCAUUGGAUACAAAGAAAACACCGAGUAUAUCCCUGAUCAGCAGGACAUGAAACUGAUGCAAUUUUAUUUUGAGAUACGUAUGAAGCAUAAUGCAUCAAAGCUUACCAUUGAUGAUUCGGAGUGCCUUGCUGAUCUCUCAUGUCAAGAUUUCAGCUGUAACUUGAAAAUGUAUCCGGAGGCAAAAAUAUUUGAUCUGAAGCUUGGUUCCUACAGGCUGUUAUCUCCAUAUGGCCUGCUUGCUGAGGUUCCUGUGUCUGGUUCUUCAGUUAGCCUUUUUACACUUUCAUAGUAAAUUAUGGCAGUCACUCAAACGAUUCUAUGUUCUGUAUGUACCAGAGCGCAGAUGUUGUUGACUCUUUUGUUGGUAUCUUCUCCUACAAACCAUUUGAUGAGCAACUGGACUGGAGUUUGACAGCUAAAGCUUCUCCUUGUUAUAUAACUGUAAGCUAUUCUUGUUAUACCUUAGUCUGCAUGCAUUUGUUUACUCUUUCAUGAUUUGAGUUCCUGUUCUGAUAGUAUUUAAAAGAUUCGAUUGAUCAAAUCGUUGGCUUCUUCAAGAGUAGCCCUACCAUUAGCCAGAACCUGGCACUAGAAACUGCUGCUGCUGUACAGGUAUCUACAAGUAAAUUUGAUUUGAAGCAAGACUGUUUCGUGGGAUCGAAUGAUUGAUUGAUCGUUCUUUGUUGCUUUGUGAAGAUGACACUAGAUGAAGUUAAACGGACCGCUCAACAGCAAAUGACUCGGGUGCUAAAAGAUCAGUCCAGGUUAGUAUAUUUCCCCCCCACCAAUUUUGUACACCGAAAAGGUGAAAAAAUAUUGACGUGGAUAAAAAAAUAGUAAAAAUCAUUUUUUUUGGAAUUGUGGGUUCAAUAAGACUUCAGUAGCUUUUCAUGGAGCAAUCUGUGCAUUAUUAGCUUCCUACCAGUAAUUGUUUAUAUGGAAUAAGAAAAAAAAGAUGUAGCAACAACAGUUAAGUGCUUAUUAACUGCAAUAAGUUGAUGAAAUUUUUUGCUAGCAUUUUAACCUCAAAAAGGAAUUUGAAAAAUGGGGUUGUGGUUUUAUGUAAAAGUAAGGAUUUGUUGUCGCUUUUUCUAUAACAUGAAAUUACGUGAUGUCAUCGGAUAAUAAAUCCAAAGGAAAGGUCGAUAAAAUGAUUCAAUCGACUAUAUUUGAAUUACUCUAGAUGUCUACAUCAUUGCUUUUCUUUACUCCUUUGCUUCUAUUAUAACGUCACACUAAAGAAUUUAGCUACAUUUUAUUUUGUCUAUCCCUUCUUCAAUGCUGACUAAUGUAUUACUUAAUCCUGCCAGGUUUUCACUGAACAUGGAUAUUGCUGCUCCUAAAAUUACUGUUCCGACCAAGUUCCGACCAGAUGAUGUACAUGAGACUAAGCUUUUGCUUGACCUUGGAAAUUUAGUUCUUCGGACAGAGGUUGUNNNNNNNNNNNNNNNNNNNNNNNNNNNNNNNNNNNNNNNNNNNNNNNNNNNNNNNNNNNNNNNNNNNNNNNNNNNNNNNNNNNNNNNNNNNNNNNNNNNNCUGUUUGCAGUAUGAUUUUAUCUUAAGCAGUUCGUUUAGAUAGCUACUAAUGCCACUUGUUGCUUCAGGAAAUAUGGGAUUCCUAUUCUUCAGAAGAGCAGGAUAUAUAUCUAAACUUCAAUUUGGUGCUUAGUGAUGUAUCUGCAUUUCUGGUGGAUGGUGAUUACCAUUGGAAUGAAACAUCUGAUGGAAUCAACUUGUUGCCAGUAAUUGACAAGUGUGGGAUUGCUUUGAAGCUUCAGCAGGUAAAAUAGUACUCCACCUACCUCUCACACAAAAUAAUUGAAAGAUAAAAGGAGGGAAAUUAAAUGUUAUCAACAUGACAUGGUUCGUUGCUCCUUUCGUCGCACAGAUCCAGUUGGAGAGUCCUCUAUAUCCUUCCACAAGAAUGGCGUUACGGGUUCCUUCCCUGGGGUUUCAUUUUUCUCCAGCACGCUAUCAUCGUUUGAUGGAAAUUUUAAAGAUUUUUCAAGAUAGUGAUAGUGAGAAUAGCACUUCAGAUCUUGAACAUUUGUGGGAUCAGGCUGAUUUUGAAGGAUGGUCGUCUCUUCUUGUGUGGAAGGUUUACAUUCUUUGUAAUGCACUCACUAAUGAUUGAUCAUUUAGGGAUUAUGUCAUAUUUUUUAUAUGCUAUUAGGGUGUUGGAAACCGAGAAGCUGCUUGGCAACGCAGAUACUUGCGUCUGGUGGGCCCAUUUCUCUAUGUAUUUGAAAAUUCAACAUCCACUACAUACAAGCAAUGGUUCAGGUUAUUAACUUUCCUAUAUAGUUAUGAAUUCUAAGUUAUUGUCAGGUUUUGAGUUUAUAGUAUCUACAUGCAUGUUGAUUUGAUGUUGUCUGGGAUUCCACGGAAUACUACCCCUGAAUUUAUUGUGUUUACCUCAGCAAAUUACUUGACUUUCCAACAUAUGAAACUUCAAAUACUUGUCAGCAUUGUCAUCAUGAGCCGUUGCUUCAGCAAUGGUAGAAACUUAUGAGGCCUCAUGGUGAUUCGUGCUUUCAGAACCAGAGGCCACCAAAUAUUUUGCAUUGCUUAACACCUUUAACGUUUCAAUGACAACAUGAUAGUGAAAUCUAUGUCUGUUAGACAUAAUGUCAUGUGAUUAUAUUCAUGUUUUCUAAUCAUUUUGUUUUUUUUUGGUACCUGCACACUUGUUUUUACCUGCUUGUAUUGAGUUGCAGUUUACGUGGGAAACAAGUUCAUCAGGUCCCUGCUGAGCUUACAAAUGGUGUGCAUAACAUCCUGGCACUGCACGAUUCUGGUCAAGUUAAUCCUAAGGAAUGUUCAAGUAGUAUAGUUCAUUAUUUACUUCAUCAAUAUUUUUCUGCUUCAGUCUUCCUGACAUAAAUUAUUAUCUUAAUAAACUUUCUUCUUUUACAGAUUCUGGAAGACACUGGUGCUUUAAUUUUUUUGUUUGACAAUGAGGAAGGACGGAAGAUAUGGCAGAGCCGCUUGCAGGGUGCUAUAUACCGUGCAUCGGUACUCCUUGCUCUUUUCUUGUUUUUGGUCGCUUACAUUAUUUAUCUUCUUUUUUUUUAUGUAAAUACAGCGAGGGAGGCCCCCACUGUUUAAUUAUCUUCUGUUGGCAUCCUUACAAUUUAGCCUUCUUGCAGGGUUCUGCUGCAGUUUCUAGCUUUCCUGAAGUUGCUCUCUCAUCAGAGACCAACUCAUUCAAAGGCAACUUUGCGGAUGUUGACACAGAAAAAUUAUUUGUUGCUGGCAUUCUUGAUGAGCUGAAGAUAUGCUUUUCGUGUGGCUAUGAGGUAUUUCUUUCUUAACUAAUAUUCUUUGUAAUCUUGAUUUAAUGUUAAUAAUGUAACCCAUGCUUCUGUAGGAUGACCACAAACUAAAAAAGGUUCUGCUAGCUAAGGAGAGCAGCCUAUUUGAAUUUCGGGCAGUUGGUGGCCAGGUACCCAUCUUUUCUUCUGUUUUGUUCCUUGCUUUACGACUUAUUUUAUAUAAUUUUUCUUUUGGAACAAACAGGUUGAACUUUCAGUUAAAGGUGGCAAUUUACUGAUAGGAACUAUUUUGGGGUCACUAGAAAUUGAAGACCAGUAUUACUACCCAGGAAGUCCAGUGCCAAGGUUCUUGGCAAGGUCUUUUAUCAAUAGCAUGCAAACCCAAGAAGUCCCCUCACCUAGUCGAAAGAACAGUGCAGGACCUAAAGGCACUCCAUUGAAGAAAAAUGACAGCGAGGAAAACUUUUUUGAGGCAUCAGACGAUUUUGAUGAAUUUGAAACACCUAUGCUUCAAGAGAGGACCAUAUCAGAUUAUUUUAGUACCCAGAAUUUCUUGCCUGCUAGUCUUCCUUCCCUACAGCCCCCGACAUUUAGUCGAAUACCUGGUUUGAUACCAGACAGUGAACUUCAAACAGUUGGAUUCACUUUGGAUGGUAAUGAUACUAUCGAUAGUUUUGUGAAAGCUCAGAUAGUGAUUUAUGAUCAGCAUUCUCCCCAGUACAACAACUUGGACAACAGGGUAAUUAUCUCAAAUCUCAUUACAUUAUAUGCUUAUGUUUUUUUUGUACGGAUGUACCUGUUCCUUGAGUCUUGAUCAUGCUUGGGUUUAUUGUAUGGAUGUAGCUAUUCCUCCUACCACCUUGAUCAUGUGUGAUAGCUCAUAUUUUUCUUCGUUUUACCAGGUAGUUGUAACCGUUGCUACUUUGACCUUCUUUUGCCAUCGGCCAACUGUUAUUGCAAUCAUGGAAUUUAUGAAUGCCAUCAAUCUUGCAAACGGGCCUGACACUAAUAAAUAUAAAGACACAUAUCCUGCUACUGUAGAAGAUGGUACAAUUGAGGAAUCUAAGUCUGAUCUGGAACCAGAGCCAGCCAUAAAAGGGUUACUGGCUAAAGGUAAAAGCAGAAUAGUUUUUCAUCUUACGUCUAGCAUGGCAGAGGCGCAGAUAUUACUGAUGAAUGAGAAUGGUGAUCGGCUUGCUACUUUAUCACAAAAUAACCUCUCGACUGAUAUAAAGGUAAUAUGACUGUUUCUAAUCCGUGAUAGAUUUUGGUUUGGAUUUUCUAAUGCAUACUGGGGUCUUGACUAUCUGUGACAUUACUCAAGGUGUUCACAUCAUCAUUCAGCAUAAAGGCUGCACUUGGAAACCUUAAAAUAAGCGAUGAUAGUCUCCGUAGCAGUCACCCUUACUUUUGGGUUUGUGACAUGCGAAAUCCUGGAGGACGUUCAUUUGUGGAGGUAUUCAUGUUAAUUGAUUUCACUUGCUUGUUGGAGGCUUUAAUUUAUUAUGCUUGAAAUUGUUCCUUUCUUUUUUUGAAUGCAAGAAAUUGUUCCUUUCUAGAAAUAAUCUUUUUAUGAAUCAUAGAAGAAUAAUCAGUUUUCAAAAUCAUGGUGCAGAUUGACUUUAGUUCAUACAAUGUUGGUGAUGAAGAUUAUUGUGGUUAUGACUAUAGCCUUGCAGGGCAGCUUUCUGAAGUUAGAAUUGUUUACCUGAACCGUUUUGUUCAAGAGGUAUGGUGUUUAGAGCUCAAUAUGUUUCUUGAUUCUGCAAAUAGUUUAAUCUGUCUCCGUCCCUCUCUGCAGAUUAUCAGUUACUUUAUGGGACUUGUCCCAAAAAGUUCUGACGGUGUUGUAAAGCUGAAAGACGAUGUGACUAACUCAGAGAAGUGGGUUAGCAAAACCGAUAUGGAAGGUUCACCUGCUCUCAAAUUGGAUGUUUCUUUCAGCAGGCCUAUAAUUGUUAUGCCCCGUGAAACUGAUAGUGCUGAGUAAGGAUGCUUUCAUGUAUAUGAACAUGGUUUAUUCAUUUACUUGUAUCAUAUCUUUAAGAUGAUCACAUUGGUUUGCAGCUUUUUGGAGCUUGAUGUCCUAUACAUAACAGUCCAAAAUGAAUUCCAGUGGAUAGGUGGUGAUAAGAAUGAGAUGAGCGCUGUUCACUUGGACAUUUUGACAGUUACAGUAAGUUCAUUUUGUCAACAAAUAUAUGCCAUUGUGAUCUUAGUUGAUAAAUGCAUAUAGCUGAUCUUCUUGUAAAAUAGUAACAGGCUGCAGCUUAUAUUAGCCAUGACUGAUUGUAUCUUAUUAUGAUUAUUAUGUUUUGGGCUCGCAGGAAGUUCCUGUCAUGUUGAUCUUUUAUGAUUUAGUUUCCUAUUUAGAACACUGGGCAAACAAACACCUGUUUUGCACAUCUUAUUCCUCAUGCCACCAUGCUUAAAAUCAUUUUUAUAGAAUGAUUAAACUUCCUUUUGUAGGUAAAGGACAUAAAUUUAGUUAUUGGUAUGGAUAUGGUGCGUGGUGAAACCAUAAUUCAAGAUGUGGAAGGCCUCUCAUUUGAACUUCGUAGAUCAUUGCGUGAUCUCAGGCAUCAGUUGCCAGCGGUGGAGGCAGCAAUUAAGGUAGCACAUUUGCUCUGAACGCAUCUUUCGUUGGAGGUCCCUGGUUAGAUUCAUUUGUUUUUCUUAUAGCUUCAUUGAGACACUCAUUUCUUUUACCAACAAUAUCUCUUAGGUGGAUGUUUUGAAAGCAGCACUAUCCAAUCGAGAAUAUGAGAUCAUAUCUGAAUGCGCAUUGUCUAACUUCUCCGAGACACCACGUACUGUGCCAACUCUGAAUGACCCUCAAUAUGGCACUUCCACUACUCCAUCUCAUGCAUCGGCAUCUUCUGAAAGUAUUCAGGACUUGUCCCAAGAUGAGGAAACAUGGAUAUCUAAUAAAUUUUCUGUCUCAGUAAAUCUGGUUGAGCUUUCGCUGCAUUCAGGAUCGACAAGAGAUUCUCCUCUGGCUAGUGUGCAGGUACUCAAUUUUUGUACAGAAAAAUACUUUGGAACUGCAUUGACUUCUCUGUUUGUUUUUCAUAGCUUUUCCUUUUCCUUACCUGGGCUUGUCUCAUAAUCAUAUUGAAAGCUUGCAUGAACACAACUCCGUACAGUGACAUACCACUUCUGACAUUAUCCCUAAAACUUUGGUUAGCAUUUUGUUCUCUAGCUGACUGGUAUCAGCAAGUGUAUUUUUACAAGUAAACUGAAGUAGCCUUGUGAUAGUUUUGCAAGAAAAAUGUAAAUUCUAACGAAAACUUCUUAGGUUUUAGUUCGUUCGUCCAAAGUCUAGAAAAAUGAGGUGUGUAUUAGCAUUUAGUACCAGUUCUCAUCACUAGACAGCACAACAACUUUUAAAAUGGAUGCCAGCCAGUCUUCCAUGAGGAAAAUUAGGUGGACUCCUAGCCCAACAAAUAAAAAUAUUAAACUACAUUAAGUGGGUUUGCAGUCUUGAUAUUUGGUCAUUUGUAAGGAGCUGCUGAGUGAAGAGGCCUGUAACGUAGUAGUUGCAGUGACCUUAGUAGCACCCUAGGUCCUGGGAUCGAAUCCCCGUGGGAGCAAAUUUCAGGCUGGGUAUGUCGGUGUUUAGACCCGGCAACCUACUGAGGGGGGUGCCCGAGGUAGUGUUUUGGUUAGUGGGGCUCGUCGAGAUCAGGAACUCUAAACACAGACACACGAUUUAGACAGGUUCGGGCCGCUAGAUUGCGUAAUACCCUACGUCCUAUGUUUUGGUUGGAUUGAAUUGCUUUGGAGGGGGUCCCUUCCUCGCCUUAUAUAGUCGGGGGCAGGGUUACAGGUCGGUUGGUUACAAGAAUACUAGUCGCAUCCGACUAGAGGAGUUUUACUCUUAUUACAACGAGUACUUUUCUAAUCCUCGACUAGUUCCUGUCUUUCCAUGUAGACUACGCCGUCCUUCGUCAUGGUCUCCAUGUCAGAUGCGCCUCGGUGUCCAGCUCCAUAUUUAGGACUGUCCAAACCUUUUGGUGGGCCCAUAGAUGUAUAUACGACAGGGUAAAAAAAAUCACUCGCUGAUUCUCUUGGCUGGCAUGGGUGAACCAACCUGUGGUGGGUGGUGGGUGGGCCCUCGUGUAAGGGGCUGAUUGUGUGGGUUGGGCCUCAAAGCACGGGUCAAGGCUCGAACCACAAGGGGUGGCAUCCUCAUGUAUGAGGUGGCCAGCUUUCGUGACUUUUCUUGGCCGGGUUCCGGUUGAGCUCUUCUUAGUGAAAUACCGUGGGGGCUACAGUGGUGGCGGUCUUUCCCCCCACCGGCCAAGUUCUUUUUAAGGAGCUGCUGAAUCUCAGCUAUGUGAGUAGUGAACACAAACAAAGGACAUCCUAGAGGGAUGGAGGUACAUCUGUCCAAAUUUUGAUAGAAUAUAAGAAUGUGGAAUUGGUAUAGGUGUCUAUAGUAACUUGAGAAUCAGAUAACAAUUUUUAUGCUGUUUCUGUGUGUGUUAAAGUAUUCUUCUGGUGUGUCCUAUUUACUGACUCUGGGUCAGAUUUUAAGUAAAUGUUUUUUUUUUCCUUUUGGGGAUUUCUUUCAUAUGGGUCUAUAGCUCUUUGUUGGGAUUGGUUUACCUCUCAUAUAUUUUCUGCAUGCAGGCGAGUGGCGCAUGGCUUCUAUACAAAUCAAACACACGAGAGGAGAGUUUUCUGUACGCUACCCUCAAAGGCUUUUCUGUUUUUGAUGGUCGUGAAGGAACAAAAGAUGAGUUAAGGCUUGCCAUUGGGAAAUCUGCAACUGUUCGAGACACAUCAUCUGUUGAUGGCUAUGAUAAUCAUAAUGAACUUGAUUCAGGUGAACAAAGAAUACAAAAGGAUCUAGGUCUUGAGCCAAUCCCCCCAAUGCUCAUUCUUGAUGCCAUCUUCCGGAAAUCUUCGUCAUCUCUCUAUCUAUGUGUUCAGCGACCCAAGUUUCUUGUGGCACUUGACUUCUUACUAGCAAUAGUUGAGUUCUUUGUGCCAUCUGCUCGGAGUCUUUUAUCCAACGAUGAAGACAAGGAUCUUCUACACAUGAUUUCUCCAGUAAUAUUGAAUGAUCAGAUUUAUUAUCAGGAGGGUUCAACAUUUAGUCUUUCACCUCAGAAGCCCUUGAUUGUUGAUAGUGAAAGAUUUGAUCACUUUAUAUAUGAUGGGAAGGGUGGGAAGUUAUAUUUGCUGGAUAGGGAGGGGAAACUCCUCUCAAGACCUAGCUCUGAGAGUUUCAUUCAUGUGCUGGGGUGUAAGAGGUUGCAGUUUCGGAAUGUCACUAUAGUGGUAAUAUUCUGUGCUUUCAAUUCCUAUUAUUCUCACUUUCUACUUACCACACCUAUAUAACUCCCCGAACCUUUUUGGCUUGGCAAUUUUCAAUACCUCGCCACAGAAUGGUGAAUAUUUGGACUCCUGUGUCUCUCUCGGUGAUGAUUGCUGUUAUUCAGCAUCAGAGAAUGACUGUGUCUACUUCAUAAGAGAAGAUGAUGGUCUCUUGUCGGCUCCCAGCAAGGAAAUUGCAGAAGACACUGUUAAAAAUGCAAGUGUUGACAUAUCGACGGAAUUCAUAUUGGAGUUACAGGUAUUGCCUUGUACUUGUAGCUAUAGUUCAGACAUGAAUUCAUAACUCUCUUAACACAGUUUUCCUCUUGUACCACACAAUGUCAUAUUCUAUACACCCCCCUAGUCAUGUAUGCACACCAAUGUCACUUAUUGAAGCAAGCUCACAUUAUUUGCUUUGAAAUUCCCCUAAGCUACGAACCCAAAUUCCCCUAAGCUACGAACCCUGCAGAUUCAUGAAAGUUCAGGAAUAUCUAACUUUUGAUUUUAUGUUUGAAUGUAACUGUUGAAAUAUCAGUCUAUUUCCCACCUUCAGUUAGAAGCUUAAGCUUUUGCAUGAAUUGAUGCAUUUUAAAUAGAAAAAAGUUGCAGCCCACUCUAUAGACAUCUUUUUAGACCCGCGGGAGCUGAGAGGGAGGGGGCGCUCCUUCCCUCAUGAGCGCUUAAGCUUUUGGAUCAAUGGGCUGGUGCAUGCAGCUUAACAAUAAGAUUCCUAAAUCUGUAAGGUUUGCAUCCACCAGCUGUGUGUGUCAGACUUUUGAGUAGUGCGGUUUCCAGCAGGUUACAACUUACAAACUAUGGAGCAACUCCAUGAUGUGAUUUUUGAAACCACUGCAUCCGCACGAGUGCCAUUUUGUAACUGUAUGAUCAAAGUGUAUUUUCUGAUUACCUGAUUGUUUCAGGCUAUUGGACCAGAGCUUACUUUCUAUAGUACAUCGAGAAAUGCUGGUGAAAACUUAGCAUUAUCAACAAAAGUUAUUCAUGCACGUACUGAUGCACAUUGCAGGUCAGGUUUUCUAGUGCCACUUUGUUCAAUGUAGUUCUCAAUUCUGUCUUAAAACUAUUUUUUUUGUUGAUGGUUAUGAUCCCCGCCUAUAUUAAUUUUGUUAGUAAAUAUUGAUAUACCAUAUACAGGAUGGGAUAAAUUAUGUUGGUAAAAAGCCAGAUUGCUGAUUGCAUUUUAUGUUGCAUCAUUUUCCUUUUACAUUUACUUCAUAUUUCCAUCUGACAAGAAAAUCAUACAAUCAUCUGUGCCGAGAAUUUAUUGAAGCGCACCAUUUCUUGUAAGGGGGAAAGGGUUCUGCCAACAUGUGGCUGACACAUUAAAUGAUGUUCUUUCUGUACUCUGUUGGGGACUAACCCCCUUUUUAUGCAACAGGCUUAUAAUGAAAGGUGGCAGUAUGGAGAUGAAUGGAAACAUACUUGGUUUAAAGAUGGAGAGUAAUGGCAUCAGAGUUAUAGAGCCAUUUGACAUGGCUGUGAAAUAUUCCAGCGCAUCUGGAAAGACAAAUUUACAUGUGCUGGUUUCUGAAAUAUAUAUGAAUUUUUCCUUUAGUAUUCUCAGACUGUUUUUAGCGGUUGAGGAAGAAAUUUCAGCAUUUCUCAGGAUGUCGUCAAAGAAAAUGUCACUUGAGUGCUACCAGUUUGAUAAAGUUGCAACAGUGCAAGGUACUAUAAAACUUGUGGUCAUGUUAGUGUACAGUUGUAGUCAUAUGUUAUAAUUUGCAUUCAUUGACUUGUUUUAGGCAAUACGAAUGAUCAAGUGUUCUCUUUCUGGCGACCACGUGCUCCAUCUGGAUAUGCCAUUUUUGGCGAUUAUCUCACACCAAUGUUUGUGAUUACUCUUUCAUUCUCCUGUCUCUUUCUUAACUUGCUUUUCUGGUGGAAGGAUUUGUAACAUUUAGUUAUUUUUUCAUCUUAGGAAUGACCCUCCUACUAAAAGAGUCCUUGCUUUGAACACAAAUGUUGUAAGGGUCAAAAGGCCUUUAUCAUACAAGCUAAUAUGGCAAUCUAGUUCUCCAAGAACAAACGUUUUUCAUCAGAAUGAGAGAGACUCGAAGAAUAAGCUCUCUAAUGUUGGCCAGCUCUGCUCUGUUUGGUUACCUGUAGCACCCACGGGUUAUGUUGCAAUGGGUUGUGUUGUUUCACCUGGAGCUGCUGAACCGCCUUUGUCUUCAGUUUUCUGUUUAACUGCUUCCUUGGUUUCAUCAUGCAAUUUAAGGGAUUGCAUUGCACUGAGGUCAAACAUAUAACCUGAACUUGUUUUCAUUUUUGUUCUAUGGCUAUAGAGAUUACUCACUCCUGCAUUAUGUCCUUCAAUUAUCUUUUUCAGGGAUAAUGGUAACAUGAUAUUCUGGCGUGUUGACAACUCUUUUGGUUCCUUUUUACCUGGAUAUCCUUCAAGCAUGAGCAUGCAUGGACAUGCUUAUGAUCUUCGACAUAUGCUGUUCAACAGUGCAGGCUCAUCUUCCAAGACUAUCUCUAGGAGUCAAGAUUGUAGGAAUGAUGCCGCUCAGCUAGAGAGAUCAGCAUUGACCUCAGGUCGGCUAUUUGAAGCGGUAGCAAGCUUUAAACUAAUUUGGUCAAAUAGCGGGACCUCUUCACCAAAGAAGCUCUCAAUAUGGCGUCCAAUGUUGUCUGAAGGAAUGUUUUACUUUGGUGACAUAGCUGUUAACGGGUAUCUUUUAUAUAAUUAGUCUUUUUUAUUUAAGAACCAAGCUCCGAUUGUGACAUACAACUUAAUAAUUAACUUCAUUUGUAGGUAUGAACCACCAAAUUCAGCUGUUGUCCUUCGUGAUACUGGUGAAGACACUUUUCUCAGAGCUCCUGAAGGUUAUGACCCUGUUGGUCGAAUUAAGAAGCACCGGGGUACUGAGGGUAUAUCAUUUUGGUUUCCUAAAGCUCCUUCAGGUUUUGUGGCAUUAGGAUGUGUUGCAUCUAAAAGUUCUCCAGAGAAAGAGGACUUCAGUUUGUUAAGAUGUAUUAGAAGUGACAUGGUGAUGGGAGGUCAAUUUUCUGAGGAAAGUGUAUGGGAUUCAUCUAGUGCUAGAACAUAUGAACCUUUUAGCUUAUGGACUGUUGAUAAUGAUGCCGGUACAUUUCUUGUGAGAAGUGGAUAUAGGAAACCUCCCAAGAGGCUUGCUCUGAAGCUUGCUGGUCCACCUACAUCAAGGAGUUCAGAUAACAUCGUUGUUGAUGCUGAAAUUAAAACAUUUUCAGCCGUUUCCUUUGAUGAUUAUGGAGGAAUGGUGAGUCUUAUACAAAGUACAUGGCUAGCCACAAUUAUUUGAACAUCUCAAAUGAUUGUUGACUCAUGUCUUUAUUGCAAUAGCUCUUCUGAUGUUAUAUUUUGAUUUUUGAACUAUUCCGCGCAGAUGGUGCCGUUAUUUGGAAUGUCCUUUGACGAUGUUGGCCUUAGAUACCAUGGGGGUUCUCAUCAUCUAAAUGCAACUGUGAACUUGUCAUUUGUGGCUAGAUCCUAUAAUGAUAAGUAUAGUUCAUGGGAGCCCUUCAUUGAACCAACGGAUGGAUUUCUCAGGUAAUUCUUCUAGGAACUAAAUUCUUCUUUUUGAGAGCAGUUCAGCAGUAUGGGAGGACCGUACUGAAUAAUUAUAUAAUAUGUAUAGAAAUAAAUGUGUAUACAAAGAUAAAUAUGACUGAGGGAUGCACACACAAAAAAGUACAACGUACAUGAACUGAAAAUCUCAUGAGAAACAAACCAUUCUUAUUGGUUUCCUGCCUAAUUUACAAUGCCCAUGCUUUAAGAGUUCUUUUUCUUGGUUUAAAAUCAUAAGUACAUUAUAGAUAAUACUUUCAUUAUUUUGUGUUCAUAAAUAUUUAGUAAUAAUUAAUUGAGCUUGGAUAAUCCACAAUGUUUUCACCUGUUUUACUUGCCUGUUAAGCCGCCACAUGCAACGCCAUAUUAUUUACAAAAUCACAGCUUCUUGUUGAAUUGUUAUUUCAUAAUUUGGUACUCAUUCUUUUGUGAUGAAUAUCAGGUACCAAUAUGACAUGAAUACACCAGGUUCUCCUGGCCAACUCCGUAUUACCUCAACUCGAGAUCUGAAUGUGAAUGUAUCAGUUUCCAAUACAAACAUGUUAUCACAAGCUUAUGCUAGCUGGAACAAUAUUAGCCUUGGUGAUGAAUUAUACAAGAAGGUAUAUCUACUUUAAGCUUAAUGUUUAACAAUUUCGUUGCCUUGCCAUCUAUAAAAAAGAUGGAAACUACAGUUAAGCAUUUGGUUAACAUUUUUGCCAUCGUUUAUCUUCUGAGUUAGUGUUCUUUUGUUCUAUUAUCAGGAAACAUUUUCUUCCACUGAACAACCAGUUCUUGAUGUUCAUCGAAGAAGAAGUUAUUAUGUUGUCCCACAAAACAAACUUGGGCAAGAUAUAUACAUAAGAACAACUGAGAAUAGCAGCUCACUUGUAACUCUGUUGCCAUCUGGGGAUGAUAGGUCCAUAAAAGUUCCUGCUUCAAAGAAUCUAUUGGAUUCUCAUUUAAAUGGAAAAUCUGUUAAAUCAUAUCGGUUGAUGGUAACUGCCAUUCUCGCGGAUGCUGAGGUAGCUCUUUUCUUUUGCACUCAACUAUGUACCUUUUGAUCUUUUAGGUGAAUCUUCAGCAUCUUCUGCUUCAUCUGUACGCCUGCAUGUUGCUUGCUCUGUGAUGAAGUGGUAGUGGUCAACUCUUUGAUCUAUACUUUUUUUUCUUCUCGAACUACGUAGGAGAGCUGCGCGUCAUUUCAUUAAGGUAGAAAAAGAGUACACGAGUCUGGAAAGACCCUCCCCGAGUACAGAAACCACACACCCACACACACCCACGCCUCAACUAAAAAACAGCCGCGCCACAGGCUAGUAAAACUGCAACAGCCGACCAGAACCUUACAGGAUCUUAGACUCCCAAGGCAAGCGACCUGGACAAGACUUCAUGGAGCUUAGUAGCACCGUCCAAGCACCAUAAACCCCCUUCUAUGUUGUUUGAGGGAAACAACCCCCUUCUAUGUUGACAGACCCUAAUUACCUCUUGGAUGUUGGGUCUAAUCUUCUCAAACACGCAAGCAUUCCGGUGUUUCCAGACUUCCCAGGCCACCAGAAUUAUUAAAGAUUUGAACCCUUCCUUAGUUCCUUUGGUACUGCUGCACUAGCUUUCCUCCACCAACUAGCGAAACGGGUGUCAGCGACACCAGGCGCCAGGUCAAGCAGGCCCAGGUGUUGAAGGAUCAAGACCCAGACUUGUUGAACGAAAACACAACCCACCAACAAGUGAUGUAUUGUCUCCUCUUCUUGAUCACAAAAAGGGCAAACCUCGUGGUGGGGCAAGCCCCGCUUCGCUAGGCGAUCAGCGGUCCAGCAUCGAUUCUGAAACACCAACCAGAUAAAAAACUUACAGUUUGGAGGAGCCCAACUCUUCCAAAUCCUUCUCCAGGGGCCAAACUUGAUGGUUCCUACAAAGAAUGCAGCAUAGGCUGACUUGCUACUAUAUGCACCAGAUUGGGUUAACUUCCAUCUAUAAUGAUCCUGUACCUCAUGCUGCAAGACCAGACCAUCCACCAAAUCCCAUAUUUGCAGAUAUUCAACAAGAACUUGCACUGUGAGGGCCCCUGUGAUGUCCUCCACCCAUUUUCGGUUCUGUAGUGCUUGAGCUACUGUCCGCCUCUUGGCUGUGCGUUUAGGGCCUGCUUUGAAUAAAUUAGGGGCCAAUUCCACCACGGUAUGACCAACCAGCGAUCAGACCAAAAGCGAAUUUCUUUCCCAUUGCCCACAAUAGCAUCCACCGCAAUGUUGAACAGGGUCUGGGCGUUCUGGGGGACCUGAAUCGGGAGGCCUGCCCAAGGCCUAUCAGGAUCUGUCUUUUGCGCCCACAGCCAGCAAACUCUUAGAGCCCAGCCCAGACGUUCAAGAUUAUGGAUCCCAAGUCCUCCAUAUUCCAAAGGCCAUUGAACCUUUUCCCAUGCUACUAGACAGUUGCCACAGCAUGCUUUACUAUUUUGCUUUUUGUUAGCACAUGCUGAAAUGCCCUAGCAUUUAAAGCCAGUGCCAACAGACACUGCAGAGUGGUAUUGACUGACUUAUUAUUGACUAUAAACCGGCCUCCAAGACUCCAAAAUUACCUCAACCGGAAGUGGGAAACUUGGAUGAUGAUGAUGAUGAUGAUGAUGACCAGUUUCUGCUAAACUGUAUUGGAUCUAUACCUACUGUUACGAUGUCCAAGCCCAUCUUUUCUGACCAUAGAUGGGAACUAGAGUGUUCACGUAUAAUAUGCUAGUGAAGGAUAUCAACUGAUUCCAAUUUUGAAAUGUAGCCAGCCCAUGUCUUACAUUAUAGUCUGAACCCAAUAUUUCAAUUAACUUGUCUGCUAAAUAAAUUGUUGCAAAGGACAUUUUCCGGUCCUUCUAAACUUAGUUUUCCUUCCCAGGUCAAGGUUGAUGAAGGAUUAGCAACUGGUGAAUAUAUGACUGCAGUGCGGCUCUUUACAGAAAAUCAUUCUAUAUCUGAUCCUCGGCAACAGAGUGCCCGUACUUGUGCUGCUGCUGGAGAACACUCGUCACAGAACAUUAGAAAGGUGAACUGGAACGAGAUGUUCUUUUUCAAAGUCGAAUCUGAGGUAUGUGAGCUGAGCACAUCUUGUCCUCUAGAUAUCCAUGACAGUUGCUCUAACUAUGGUUAGUGGUAACUUUUUCAACAGCCGUGUUUUCAUUUUAUUAACAUUUUGUUUUCACCUGAAAAACUUCAGGAUAGUUAUAUUCUGGAGCUUCUUGUGCUUGAUGCUGGUAGAGGUUUGUGGUUUUAGUGCAAAACAAUAAUUAUUAUAUUGUUUGUUUUCCUACACUAGUUUAUUAUCUAUGCUCACAACAGGUCAACCAGUUGGAAUAUACUCUGCUCCAUUGAAGCAAGUUGUGCAAAAGCUCCCUCCUACCUCAAAUUCGGACUCUGCUAAAUUUGAUUUGACUCUAGGUGACCUUAUGUCAACCAAGACAGUGGUGAGAACUGAUACUUUGAGAACCAUGUAUUGAUUGAGUCACUAUUUCAGAAAAGAGUGCACACAUGGUGCUUCUGGGAAAUUUGUAUUUACAUAUUUUUUUAUGACAUUGUAUUCACAAUUCUUCGCAGGAACCUGAAACUGUUAAACCUAGUGGGAAAAUAAGAUUUGCUGUACUUGUUUCUGGUAGAGCUAGUGUACAACAAGGGAAGACAACCAGUUCUGGAAGAAGUAAGACUGGAUAUAUCCAAAUUAGUCCUUCCAAAGAAGGGCCUUGGACAGACAUGAAGUUAAAUUAUGCUGUACCUGCAGCAUGUUGGAGGUUUGGCAAUUGUGUGAUUGCUAGUGAAGCAACAGUCAAGGAGGGCAACAGAUACCUUAGCAUACGUUCCCUUGUGUCAGUUACUAACACAACCAAUUUUGUUGUUGAUUUGCGUCUAAAAGGAAGAUUCGCUCAAAGUGCACGAUCAGAUGAACAGGGAAAAGACAGUUCUGUUAAAGAGGAUCAAAUCUUGAUCGGAAUGUUGGAACCCAAUUCUGCGGUUCCAGUCCCACUACCAGGCCUCUCACAUCCUGUUGCGCCUUAUAUGUUGCAGCUAAGACCGGCAAGUCAUCAUGAACACAUUAAUUACUCCUGGAGUGAUGUCCAGGAGAGACGCAGUCAAACUGAGUUUAGAAAGGAGGAGAUCCUAGAUAUAUGUGUAUCAGAUCUGUAUGAAUCAGAAAACUUGCUAUUCUGCUCACAGAUUGAUGGCACUUCCAGUUCUUGUCAUGGACUAUGGUUUUGCUUGAGUAUAGAAGCCAAGGAAAUAGGCAAAGAUGUUCACAUGGAUCCAGUAUACGAUUGGAGCAUCAUUAUCAAGUCCCCAUUGUGUUUGGCAUACUAUCUUCCCAUUUCUGCACAUUAUACUGUAAGUUCUAGCCACCACGAUGAUGAAGAUUCAAGUUGCUCUCGUGGUGCCUUAAAUCCUGGAGAGGCUGUGAAGGUUCACAAUGUUGAUCCAAGAAACCCUUUGUACUUGUCUCUCAUUCCGCAUGGGGGAUGGGAACAAAUGCAUGUACGUAUACAGUGCUUUCACAAAUAUAUGCUUUGAUUUUUUUUCCACACUAUUGAAAUAAUUUUUCUGUUUUCCAGGAGCCUGUUCUUAUAUCACAUCCAACCCAAGCACCUUCAAAAUUUAUCAAUCUAAGAAGCUCUUUAUCUAGAAGGUAACAAUGCAAACAUGAAAAAUUUCUGGUGUAUAACAUCCCAUAACUAUUCAUUAGUAGAGCUUCUCUUAUCCUAUUCAUCUUCCAUUCUUCUGUAGGAUUGUACAAAUUGUGCUUGAACAAAGCAGCGAUAAUGACUAUUUGAUGGCAAGGGUUAUCAGAAUAUAUGUUCCCUAUUGGAUAUCUUUUGCUAGAUUGCCUCCACUUACUCUGCGACUCAUUGAUACCUCUGGAAAGAAAGAGAAGAAGCGGCUUCUUGCACGUUCACAUUUGGAAAGGAGUGAGAAGCACCUCUAUGAUAUAAAACACGAUGAAUUGGUUGAGGGAUACACUAUAGCAUCUGGAUUAAAUUUCAAGGGCUUAGGACUUUUAUCAUCUGUGGGUGGACAUGGAGGACAAUUUGGAGCUGUGAAAGAAUUAUCACCUCUUGGUGAUAUGGUUAGUUUGGAUCUUCUUUUAUUUGUAUAUCUUGUUUUGAACCACUUCAAUUUUAAUUACGUUGUUCCUGUCUAUUAAGGAUGGCACGGUUGAUAUUUCUGCCUACGAUGAUGAUGGAAAAUGCAUGCAUAUUCUUCUUUGUUCAAAGCCAUCCUCAUACCAAGCUGUUCCAACAAAGGUAGCUGCAUGCUAAUCUAUAAUUUCAUAUAGAAAGUGUCAAUAAAUUAAUUUCAUGUCAUGACACAACAGGUUAUCAAUGUACGCCCGUACAUAACAUUCACAAACAGGUUAGGACAAGAUUUGUACAUAAAACUUAGUGCUGGAGAUGAGCCAAAGGUUCUACAAGCAUAUGACUGGAGGGUUUCCUUUAUGUACUCUGAGGGUGAUACUGACAAACUGCAGGUACUAUAUCAUUCUCAAUGAUAACACCAUUUAGGUUAAUUGUAUGCUUGAAUUGUUGAUGGAUCCGUUAUUAAAAGUAAAUCACCAUGUUAGUAUUUUCUUUUUAUCAAACCUUUUGUUGUGGUGUCUUUUACGUAAGAGAUUCUGUUGGCCAUUUGGUUCAACUGUCUUUUUCCUGCUCUUUAUAUGCUCAAUGUGGUUUCUGUAUAUUGCAUUGACUGUUGAUCUUUUUUUCUUUAAUUUGCAUUCAUCAGCUUGUUUAUGUCAAUUAUUCUAUGUGAAAAUAUGCAGUUUUUAUAUUUACCUUUCCAAACAUUUAUCUAUCUUGAGAAAUAAGAGUGAUAUGCGUAUGCAUGUGUUACCUUGCACAAUGAGUAAUUGAUGUCAGGUAAGGAUAUCAUUUGGGCUCUGCUCUAAGAAAAUAACACAAUUUUCCGUCAAUGUUACUUUUUGCUGGUUAAAUGAUUUGGAUGAAUAUAUUUGAACUGCAAUUGUCUUCUGCCCUAUUUGAAGGUCCGACUGGCGGAUACAGACUGGUGUCAACCUCUGGAGAUAGUAAAAGAAGACACCAUUGUUAUAGCAAUGAGAAAGCAGGAUGGUACUAUGAAAUUUGUGAAAGCCGAGAUACGCGGCUAUGAGGAAGGUUCAAGAUUCUUGAUUGUAUUCCGUCUGGGGCCAGCAUAUGGGCCAAUCAGGUAGCAUGAAAUGGUAAUAACAACAUGCAGACAUUUGUUUCCCCCUUUUAUGACUAUGGCCAUUGUAUGGUUGCUUGCAGGAUUGAGAACCGGACAAGUAGUACAACAAUCAGUACUCGCCAGUCUGGUUUAGGUGAAGAUACUUGGAUCCAAGUGAAACCACUUUCAACCAGAAAAUAUUCUUUGGAUGACCCAUAUGGACAGAAAGCUAUUGAUGUUAGCAUCCAGAAAGGAGAUGUUGCUUGUGUCCUAUGUGUUGACUUGGAGAACCCUGUUGGAAGUUACACCAGUUUUAGGGAACAUGGCCUCAAGUUCAGUAUAGUUGAGACUAGUGAUAUUAAGAUACUGAAGUUUACCGAUUCCCUAAGAAAAGAGGAAGUAUAUGGAUCGCCUGGAUCUGAACUAAUUGAUCACCAAGCAUCGGCAUUGAAAGAAAACGAGAUAGAGCCAGAUGCCAAGCCCUUGGAGCUUAUUGUUGAACUUGGAGUUGUUGGAAUAUCUUUGAUUGAUCAUAAGCCGAGAGAGCUUUUAUACUUGCAUCUGCAGAAGGUUUUCAUUUCAUACAUGACUGGUUAUGAUUCUGGGACCACUAGCAGGUACGGUUUGCAACUAAUGUUUUGUUUCGUCAACAUCCUGUCCAGACAUGCGCAUGUCUAGAAAUCACCUUUUUCUUCCCUAUGCAAAAGAAAUGCCUUCCAUCACUGGGGGGACACGGGAAUGUUGAGCUACACUUAGUUCUUCACCAUUUCUUGUAUGUCAUAUUCUUGAAGCCACUACCACUGCUCCUUUCCAUUUAUUGGCAUCAUCUUUGGACAACGGUCAAAUACAUAACUGAUGGCAUACCUAUGAACCUAGCUUUAUAGCAUCUCAUUUUACUAAUCAUGGCAUUAUCUGCUCCGAAUCAUCUUUAUUGAUACAUAUAGCGUUUUGCAGGUUUAAGUUAAUUCUUGGCCAGUUGCAAUUAGAUAAUCAGCUGCCACUGUCUACAAUGCCUGUUAUUUUGGCCACUGAGAGCAGGCCUGAUUUAAAUCGUCCUGUGUUCAAAGCAAACAUUGCUGUUGGCAAUGUAACGUCAAACGGCAUUCAAGUUUACCCACAUGUCUAUAUCCGGGUAAUGUUAUUGCUGUGCAUAUUUCAACAAGCAAAUUUAUUUUAUAUCAACCCAUACUGAAAUAAUGAAACUCGUGUUUUCUCCAGGUAAUUAAUGAAGCAUGGAGACUGAAUAUUCAUGAGCCUAUUAUUUGGGCACUAGUUGACUUCUACAGCAAUCUUCGUUUUGUGAGUGCCAGUAGUAGCACAACUGUCACUGAAGUGGAUCCUGAGAUACGAAUAGAGUAAGCUCCUAAGUUGCAGCCACUUUGCCAUCUAAAUUUCUAUAGCAACUGUUAGGCUUUCCUACUUUUUGGACAUACAUUUUUGCAUCUGAAAUUGCUUUGCCGUGUUUCCAAUUUGAUGCAUCCUGUCAUUCAUCAGUAAUUACUGAUGAGAUCUAGUGCUACACUUGUUAUCUAGAUAAUGAUAAAUGCUUUACCCAUCCUGGAAACUAGAAUGAGGAUUCAACCCUAACUUACUACCCUAUUUUUUGAAUGAUUACCAUGUUAUGAAUAGCACCUGUAUUAAUCAUGACGGCUCUAGGCCCGAAUAUAGCCACAUACUAGUGUGUCCAAGUAUACACAAAACCCCUUAUACAACAGGGAAAUUCCUUGAUCAUUCUAGUCACGUGGGAGCUUUGGAUGCAUCGUAAGGAUUGCAUGUUCAAUGGUGCUAGACCAAAUGCCUCAGGGAUUCUACGAAUAGUGGCUGAUGAAAGUUAGUCUUUGGUGUUUAGCUGGAGCCUUGGCACUCCAUGAGCUUCUGCUAUGGUCGCUUACCCCGGAUUCGUAGCCCAUUUAUGGGUGAUCUGGCCAUUUGUAACCUUGGUGUGGCGAGCCUGUAACUCUUUCUCUGGUGUGUUUAGGGAGGGGUCCGUUUUGACCAUUCACUAAGUUUUUUCCUGUGUUGAACUUGCCUUUCUAUUCCUUCUAUAAUGAAAUAAUACAGAGCUCCUCCUGCACGUUUGAGAAAAAAAAAAUGAAAUGAAUGUUCCUGGUAUUUACAAUGGUAAGCUCCAGAUUUGUAUUCUGUGGAUUGCAACCCCUAUAGUUCUCUUAUGUAUGGAGUUUCAUGAUCCUGUCAAAAAUUAUUGUGCGCAAAAGAUCGAUAAGUGGUAUGUUUGUGCACCCUAUAAAGAUGCACAAGUAUUUGCAUAUAGCCAUUUUGGAUUUCUCACAUACCAUUUGGUUUGGUGUAUAAGUCUUCUGCAAUGGUAUAAUUCAACCAGAAAUUACAUGUCACAUAAUAAUUGUAUAAUUUGCAGGCUUGUUGAUAUUUCAGAGAUAAGGCUCAAAAUAUCUCUGGAAACUGCGCCUACUCAAAGACCUCGAGGUGUCCUAGGCGUAUGGAGCCCUGUCCUAUCUGCUGUGGGUAAUGCCUUUAAGAUUCAGGUAACUUGAACUCAGUUUAUGUAUGGAACAUCAUGUUUCAUGGCCAGUGCCUGAUUAACCCAGUUAUAUUAGGUUAGAUUUGCGCAUUUCAUCAGAAUCCAGGAACUUUAGUUUAUGAACUGUGAAAUUAUGCUAAAACAAACAAUAGUUACAAACUCCCCUUCUGCUGGGUCAGGGUACCCACACAUACAUUUUUAGAGUUGUCUGUACUCUCGCUGGUAGGUUCUCUGGUGGAGGACAUUUUUCAAUCAAUAGUUACAAACACAGCAGCCCCUGACAAAUCCAGGUAGAGAUCUGGUUAGCGCACUCCCUAGGAAUUCAGUUCCGCAAUCUUUAUGGUGUUUGGGUGAGGUACAACGUAUGCAGCAUUAGUUCAAAUUGGAACUCCUGAAAGAAUAUGUCCAGUCAGUGCACUACCCUAAAUACCGUACUCAAAAGUUCAGCUUAGUUUUCAUUGGACCUAAACAACUCACCUUAGUGCUGAUAACAGAGGCAAGGUUGAUCUUUUUUUUCCUUUCAUGUCUGCCAGAACUAUUGGGCUAGUCUUAUUUCUGAAUUCUUAAAUAAGAGAUUUAUACUUUGAGUCCAAUGAAAUGUAGUGUCCUCCCUUGAUAUUUGCCUUAGGUACAUCUGCGGAAGGUCAUGCACAGAAGCCGGUAUAUGCGGAAGAGCUCCAUCAUCCCUGCUAUCAUGAACCGAAUCAAGAGAGAUCUGAUCCACAAUCCCCUGCAUCUAAUCUUCUCUGUAGAUUUUCUUGGAGUGACAAAAUCAACUUUAUCAUCACUUAGUAAAGGAUUUGCGGAGCUCUCUACUGAUGGGCAAUUUCUUCAGCUGAGAUCAAAGCAGGUGAAAUAACUUAUAUGGUUUCUUUUAUCCUUGUUUCUGUUGACUCAGUGAAACACUUAAGUGGAAUGUGAUUCAGGUCUGGUCAAGGAGGAUCACUGGUGUUGGCGAUGGACUAAUUCAAGGGACAGAAGCAUUUGCUCAGGGUUUGGCUUUUGGGGUUUCUGGUGUCUUAAGAAAGCCAGUUGAGAGUGCCAGACAGUAUGGUCUUAUAGGCAUUGCUCCUGGUCUUGGCCGUGCUUUUGUAGGUUUCAUUGUACAGCCUUUAAGUGGGGCUCUGGAUUUUUUCUCGCUGACAGUUGACGGAAUUGGUGCUAGUUUUAUGAGAUGCGUCAACAUUCUAAGUAACAAAUCUGUCCCCCAGAGGAUAAGAGAUCCUCGUGCUAUCCACCGAGAUGGUAUAGUAAGAGAGUAUGACAAAGUUGAAGCUGCUGGUCAGGUACUGUGCUUGUUUUCAUAUUGUUCAUUUCUUUUCCUUUUGCCUUUUGAUGACAAAAAUAAAUGUACAAAAGGAUCCACUGAUUCCUGGAAGGCAGGUUGCCAGUCUAAUAUCUAUUAUGAAACUCAAAUAAAACUAAAAAAAAUAGAAAGAAGAGUAAGGUAAACCUAAUGAAUAAGAUGAAGCGUCCUGAAGAUUUUUCAUAUAUGUCAAGAAUUAUUAUGGUUCAUUCUUUAAGGCCCUUUCCUUUAGUACUAGCUGACAUCACAAGCAAGAGACUCAGUCCAUAAGUCCAUAUGAAUCACUUUGACGAACGCUGAAUAAUGCAUUUUUCUAAAUCCAAAUAUGCCAGCAAAACGAAAUUACCAAUUCCUUGGAAAAUGAUUUGUAACUAGUGGCCAGUGGCCUGGCCUGACUUCAACCAGCUUACAAUAUGUCAAAAGUUAUCUAGUCACAAAUACCGUCUAUAUUUUCUUCUCCCAUUUGGAAUCGUGAGAAAGGUCGAGUGAUGCAGAAUUUGUGAAGUGUUCUGUGAGUCAAUCAGGAAAGUUGUACUGUGCACUAAAAUUCUUUACUUGGAAGGAUCCAAUUUAGACGUUAUGGUUACUACAUGAGCAAUCAUAUCAUGCAUUUACAUAGUGAUGUACUUUAGAUUCAAUCCAGCUCUGUUUUAGUUAGACAAAACUUCACCUUUGUUAAAUUGAUCAAGCAUGCAGGCCAAGUUAAAUGGUUCUAAUGGUUCUGAUGCUAAUAUUAUUAGUCAGAAGAGAGUGAUUUUUUGGUAUGCUGGCAACUAAAUUCGAUUACUCUCUGCUUCAGAUGGCCCUUUACCUGGCAGAAGCAAGCAGAUAUUUUGCAUGCACGGAUUUAUUUCGAGAACCUUCUAAGUAUGCAUGGUCUGAUUACUAUGAGGACCAUUUUAUUUUGCCAAACCAGAGGAUCGCUUUAGUAACUAACAAGCGGGUGAUACUGCUUCAGGUGAGGCUUAUUCCUUUCUGAUUGUAUCAUGUUACUUCAAAAAUUUGAUUAAAACUCACAUUCUUCAUUUGUUUAGUGCUUGGAUCUAGAUAAAAUGGAUAAGAAACCUUCCAAAAUACUUUGGGAUGUUCCUUGGGAAGAAGUACUUGCAUUGGAGCUAGCGAAAGCUGGGUAUCAGAGGCCUUCGCAUGUGAUCAUACAUCUAAAAAAUUUCAGGAGGUCUGAGAACUUUGUCAGGCUUAUUAAGUGCAACGUUGAUGAAGACCGUGAACCUCAGGCUCUUUCACUUUGUUCGUCAGUUCGGAAAAUGUGGAGAUCUCACCAGGCAGCAAUGAAAGUUAUACCCUUGAAGGUCCUUUUCCCUGCUCUCCUGAACUGUACCUUUUUUUUUAGAAACCAACUCUCCUGAACUUAACUUGUAUUUCUGAACAAAACCAUAAUAGGUUCCAUCAGGCCAGCGCCAUGUGUAUUUUGCAUCAGAUGAUGAUAAAAGGGAAUCCCACAGUCUUUCUAGGUCUUUGAUAAGCUCGAGAGGAACUUCUAGUGAUGUUGAGCAACGGCUCAUGAACCACACGGUUAACUUCCAGAAAAUGUGGAGCAGUGAACCAGAAAUUCGGAGCCGAUGUAAACUAGUUGCCAAGCAGGUAAUUCAUCACAAUCUGAAUGACUGAAAAAUAUUUUUUUCCCAAAUACCAUCAUGAUGUUAAACAACUGUUGAUGUUUAUUUUAGGUUGCGGAUGAUGGAAGGGUGUUUAGCAUCUGGAGGCCUUUGUGCCCUAAUGGGUAUGAAGCUAGACAAGUCAACGUGUCCCCCUAGUGUAACAUUUUUUUAUGCUGAUGCUGAAGAUACAGAGCGAAUUUAUUUCAGGUAUAUCUCAAUUGGAGAUGUUGCUCAUGUCGGCACCCAUCCACCGCAACUUGCUGCUGUCUACAAAAAUGCCAAUGGAAAUUUUGCACUGCCUCUGGGCUACGACCUGGUCAGUAUUCAAAGGACUUUUUUGUGCCAGAAGCUCUUGGUCAAUGUUGAGCUUAUACUAAAAUAGUAUAACUGUUUUGUUACUUUUAUGCUAAUAAAUUUAUUAAUUUUAUGGCAGUUCAUUGUUACUAGUCGAGCGCACGCUCAUAUUUGCUUUGCGUGCAGGUUUGGAGAAACUGUGCUGAGGAUUACAAGAGUCCUGUAUCAAUAUGGCUUCCAAGGCCACCUGGCGGCUACGUAGCUCUUGGGUGCGUUGCUGUGUCCGCUUUUGAGGAGCCCCCUCUUGACUGUGCUUUCUGCGUGGAUGAGAGACUCGCAGAGGCUGCCGAGUAUGAGGAGCAAAUCAUAUGGGCAUCAGCAGAUGCCUACCCAUGGGGAUGCUACAUCUACCAAGUUCAGAGCAGCUCACUGCAGUUCAUGGCACUUCGUGUCUCAAAAGAACAGUCUGAGCAGAGGCCCAAGAAGAUAGUGGAGUCGCUUAUGCAGCGAGCACCAGCGACUCCGCGACAAGAAAAGCAAACAUGACGUGCAUGAAAGAGGAUGUACAUAAUACAUAUACGUGCGUGCAAGAAAACUCGGCUGGGGCAGAGUUGGACCAGCGUUCUCGUGCACGAAAGCUCGAAGAAAGCCGCAUCUUUCAGACCGCUCUUCGUCUCUCCGUGGUCAGAGCAUACACACAACCCUUUUGUCUGGGUGUAAAUGUUGUAAACUACCAGUAGUAGGUUCAGGUCAAACGUUGUAAGUUGUAAAUGCCAAAUUUUGUAACGCUCGUCACAGUUUUUGUCCAGCCUUGGACGAUUAAGCAUGCUUUUUUUUUUGUGGGUGAAUGAUUAUGAAUUGUGAGGUUCUCGCUCUACAUUUUGUUGCCGUCUGAAUUUGCAGCUGUGCCCUUUUGCUAGGGAGUGCAGAGAGAAUGGUAGAGCUGAUUCAACACACAACAGUAACCUCAUAUGGAUAUGCCCACCAAUCUAGUGAAAAUUAUUGCAACCAGUAGUCUAAAAGUUUCUGGCAACAUGUUGUGCCAACCCUGGAACUUUGAAGCAACCAAACAAUGCAAUCUGCCAUUGCGCGCACCCUCACUGCGCGCCAUCACCGAUCCAGGGGGUGCCACUCCCCGGGCGAGCUCCCGGUCGACCAAGAUUUUUUGACAGGAGCUUGUUGGAAUCUUGGAGAUAAGCACGCGGCACGACGCCUGAUGGACGUGCCACACCGGUGCUUGACAGUGGCGUUCGGGAUCAGAUCAGGCGACGGCUCGUCUCGUCUGUCGUCUCGCAUGCAUGCACCCACGCGCCUGCGGAGGAGCGCUUCGUCGAGGAGCCAACACGUUGCAUCGCUUCCCCCCGUUCAAUGCAGCAGCGAGGCAACGGCUGCCCGCGCCGCGCAGGUUUGGCACGCAAACGCCGCCGUGGGAACCGACGGGGACGGCCGGUGGUUGUGGUCCAUGGCGAGGCGGACACCGGAGGGAGAAACAAAGACCGUGACUCGAUCCUGUGGGGGCAUGGAAAGCAGACCACUGUUGGUAUCUAGAUAUGCGAGUCUCCAGCAUGGAAAUAUCGGCUGCAGGGAGAGAUAUUUCGUGAGGUGCUUUCUCUUUUAUUUCGCCGAGCGAGGACUCAGCUGGAAAUUCGGUCAGCUCGACAGUUGGUUCACAUCUUUCAAUUUUUUUAAAAAAAUUAUACACAAGAACUACAAGCUGUGCAUCUCCAAGAUUCCUAAAACCUAUACCCAGAACUAGAUUUUUGGCGUGAUUCUAACACUCUUGGAGAUGUGCUCUAAGAGUACUUUAUUUUGUUAUACUCUAUGUUUCAAAUUAUAGUUAUUUUAGCUUCAUCCUAAAUUAAACUAAAUUUAUAAAAAAGAUACACAAAUAUCUACAACAACAAACUAGUUUUAUUAAACGUUCCAUGAAACUUGUUUUAUUAAACGUUCCAUGAAAUACGUUUUAAUCGUGCAUUUAUUGUGAUAGUACAGAUGUUAAAUACUUUUUUUUAUAAAACGCACCUAAAAUUUAAAACGCACUACUUGUCAUCUUACUCAAUAGCGAGCCAUGAUCAUUGAUCAAAUAGUGAAGUCAACAGCAAGAAUGUUAGACCAUGGUGUACGUAAAAAAGCUUCUCUUGGCAUAAGCUUCUCUUGGCAUAUCUUAGGUGGUUAUGGUGGUUAUGGUGAACCUGUCAAUCAGCUCGAGUUCUCGACUUGACACUCGACUUGAAGUGCUUGUAUUUUUUUGGAUUAUUCUUGGAUUUAACUGGUCGCCUGCACUAUUCUUUUACUAUUCUUUCAGUAGUAAUUCUUUCAGUAGUAGGCGCCUGCACUAUUCUUUCAGUAGUAGGCGACGACGUGCCCGUCGAGGCGCUAAUGAUGGCUUCGUCAAUCUCGAGGAUCUGCCUGCUCAGUCUCUCGGAGGUGAUCAUAAGGAUAUGGUUGCGUGCGUGUGUUCGUAGGGGCGAGUGUGCAUGCGUGUAAGAAAUUGAAGCUUCUCUUUGACUUCACAAUUUUUUUAAAAGAAAACAGAUUUUCCAUUUAAAAAUUGAAACCCGUAGGGAAAGCAAGCUUCUAACUGCGGGGGUCUUUUCUUUAAAAAUGACAAUUCUUUUUUAAGCUAAUGUUUAAAGAUGAGCAUGGAGUUGCACUUUAUCAAAUUAUUACACAGGGUCCACUUGACACUUGUGAUAGUCUUCUUUUUUUCCCUCGUUACUUCAAUGAAAAAGUCUUUUUUUAAAAAUAGAAAAAUGAAGUGGACGCAACAGAGGAGACAAGUGAAUAGUCGGUGUGCGCAACAAGAGCCACAAACACAGACCGGAAGACGGGGCCCCAAAGGUCACCGGAGCCGGGGCCCGCGGGCCAAACCUGGCAACAGAAAAGCGCGCAAGAAACCAAAAGCCUAGGGCGAGAGCAGGCGAGCAGCUCGGGCCCGCCGUCCGGAAACAUGGGGUGGAGGUGGCGCGGCGACGGGCGGGGCGCGGAUAAGGCCGCCAUGGCAGCCACGCGUUUGCUCUUGGUGGCCGCGCGCGGCCGCGUCACCACCAGCUCAUCGCCUCACGCCGCGGCACAAGACCACAAAGUAAUCCUAGGGAUCCGAGGAGCUCCCCGUGCUGUAGGGCCUUGGAGCCUCAUGCAUGUGUUGCAGGAGAGCGUGACUAUAGUCCGUGUAGGAUUUGUCGGGUGUUGGUUUGUUAAACAUCAUCAUCAUCAUAUUGACCAUCAGUAAGAAUCAUCUACGUGUGGCUGUACAAGGCUCUGUCAGUAGUUUUCUUUGUUUAAUGGUCAGUUGAUCACGUUGACCUGUACAAGGCUCCGUGUAGGAUUUGUCAGCCUAUUUUUACUGUAACCAUCUGAUAAAAACGAGCAGCUGAGAAAACGAACGCAUGUGUUUUCUCCCCCAAAAGAAAAAGAAAAAACCACCCGUUCGCAUAUUCGCAUGUGUGAACAGCUGUAAACUAUAGUGGAAUAGCAUUCGAACAGGACAAAUCCGGAGAAAGGACGGGCAUGAUGGCAGCAGCACCGUAGGAGGUUUGCUGGUAGGUCGUUUACGUCCGCGUGUGUGCUGACUCACUCGCGUCUAGGCUCGUUGCCCCCGAUUCCCCGAAGGCGCAAGCCUCCAAACCGACCGCGCACCAAGGCUGGAGUGGCUGUCCAUCUUUACACGCGUUCUCCGUCUCGUCUACCAAGUCCGGACCUCACCGUGCUCCAAGGCCUUCUCCAUCCACAUUUCACCAUUCCUACUGUUAUUUUGAUUUUUGAGUAAAACAGAAAAUGCACUGAACGCGUCAAAAAAGGAAAAUAAAAUGGAAAUACGGCAAGUUGCACGAGGGAUUCAUCCGGGGCCAUGAAUCCUCCCAUUGGUCGCGUGCCAUGCCAAAAGCACAAGACAGGGUCCGCAACCACCUUUGCCUUGGACCGGCCCCCGCGCAGCCCGGCAGGACCCGGGCCGCACUGCCAGCCUCACGGGGGCGAUGGGCCUGAGCGCGGUUUGAACACGUCAACCCGCGCGCCACGCCAGGCGGAUAAUACUUUUCUUAUCCGUUGCCAAGCCUUUCUCCUCGCAGCCUGGGAGCCAAGUGAAAGAAGCGCCGACGUGGCGCGCCUGCCCGUCCACGCGCUGCAGUACUAGCACGCAUCUGGAUCUCCGAUAGCGUCGUGGAUCUCGUGCUACACUAAUCACACUCCCUAAUCCGCUUGUGGCUGGGUGAGCACAACGCUGGUUUAGCUCAGCAGCUUGUCGCCCGCCACGUCAGGCAUGGUACUGUACGGGUCGUGUAUUCUGAUACUGCCGUAUUAUACAUGCGAGUACGCGAUCGAUAAGUGUUUAAGCAGGGCAGGAGCAUUUAUCUGUUGCCUAAUGAGACAAAUUAAAUGAAUAAUUUGGAUAAGACCACCAGCGCCGCCCAUCAGGCAUCAGCAGCAGCAGGCAACGGAACGGAUAGAUAGGCUGAUGCAAUCUUCAGUCUCCAACUAGCUCGCGUCCAUUUUAUAUUUAGUCCUAAUCCUGAUCGCUGAUCAUUCUAUUAGCGAUAAGCACCCGUGCCAUCCGUCGCCGUCAAGGCACCGCCGGCGAUUCCUCUAUAAAUACAGAGCCCAACCCACGCCGAGCCUCUCCUCCCAUUUCCCCCAUCCCAUUUGCCCAGCCUUUGCAAACGAGUUGAAAUCAAAUCAUCUUGUUCAAAUCCUCCCCUUCCUCUUCCUCUCUCGCCAAGCGCAAGCACCUCUCUUCCUCUCUUGCAGCCUUGCUGAUUUGUUGGUCGGUUCGUCCCUGAUCCAAAAGGCAGAACCAUGGCGCUCACGCUGCGUUCCACCACGUCCUUCCUGUCGCCUGUCGACCCCAAUUCCAAGCUCCUCCACAAGCCGGGCGCCGACGACGCGCCGCCGAGCUGCGCCGCCGUGCCGGCCCCGUCCCACGCCGCCGCGCCGAGCCGCAGGCUGCGCCUCGUCAGGGCGGCCGCGGCGGCGGCGCCCGCGCCGGCGAUGGACCGCGCGCCGGCCGAGGCCGCCGAGCUGCUGCACGGCGGCGCAGCGGGCCAGGACCACGGGCGGCCCCGCGGCGGGGUCCCUGUGUACGUGAUGCUGCCGCUGGACACGGUGGGGCCCGGCGGCCAGCUGUCGCGGCAGCGCGCGGUGGCGGCGAGUCUGAUGGCGCUGCGGGGCGCCGGGGUGGAGGGCGUCAUGGUGGACGUCUGGUGGGGCGUCGUGGAGCGGGAGGGACCCGGGCGCUACGACUGGGAGGCCUACGCCGAGCUCGUGCGCAUGGUGGAGCGCGCCGGCCUGCGGCUCCAGGCCGUCAUGUCCUUCCACCAGUGCGGCGGCAACGUCGGCGACACCUGCAAGUAAGCCAUCUCCAUCCCAUUAGCCCUGUGCUCUCGUAGCGGUAGCAAUCCCGCAGAUCAAUUAGCUACUGUCUUUCAUCAAAAAGAUAAAUUGGCUACUAGAUUUGUGGGAACUGAACUCAUGAUGCUUCAGACAGUUCAGAGUUCAGACUCCAGUGCGAAACGGGAUUCACUGCGUUCUUUCAGUUUUUUUAGGAGCCAAUUGAUGUGCGUAGCUUCAAGGGGGUGUCCACAAAAUUAGGCUAACAAGUUAGGCCCACACGGGGGUUACUAGGUUAAUCCUCCACUAAACUAGACGAUUAGAGCCCUUAAUCAAAACUUGCCCCCUUUUUUUUCCUUUGGUGAUCCCUUCCCUUGCACGCAAGGGCUUGGUAUGGCUCGGCCGGCAAGCAAUCAGUUUUGUCCAAGUGCUUCUUUCUGUCUUGAGAAGGCAAGCACAAGUGGCAAAAGAAAGGUUAAAGCCUUAAAGGUGUGAGAUGAAUAGAUGAUUGAGUAGUUACUAACAGAGCAGAGAUGUUGCUACCACUGGAAUUGAAGGGAAAAGAUCCAUAGAUUAAUUCCCCAAUCAUCGGUUUGUACUGACCGUUAACAGCUAACCAAUUGCCUGAUUUGGUUGACAUGAUUGAGUAGUUGAUAGAUGCUCCUCUGAUUGAUGCUAGGUCUCUGGCUAAAUAACUUUGAACAGUUUUAUCUGUUGCUGGUACUCUUUUAUUGACGUUUGUUGCUCUGACGACGUUUGCAGCAUCCCCUUGCCGCCAUGGGUGCUGGAGGAGAUGAGCAGCAACCCGGACAUCGUGUACACGGACAGGUCCGGCCGCCGGAACCCCGAGUACAUCUCCCUCGGCUGCGACACGCUGCCGGUGCUCAAGGGCCGGACACCCAUCCAGGUCUACGCCGACUACAUGCGCAGCUUCCACGACAGGUUCCGUGACUACCUCGGCAACGUCAUUGCGGUAAUCAUCAAUUAACCUGCCCAUUUCUUAUUGACCACUGGAUAUUGCAAUAGCACUUGAGCAUGAUGCUGUGAUCUUAAGACUAAACCACCUGUGUAUCGUUGUUGCAGGAGAUCCAAGUGGGCAUGGGGCCCUGUGGAGAGCUGAGGUAUCCUUCCUACCCAGAGGCCAACGGAACAUGGCGUUUCCCGGGCAUCGGCGAGUUCCAGUGCUAUGAUAAGGUAAGAAACAAUCAAACAAUACAAAUACACUUGAUAAGUGUUAGUCUUUGCAAUUGUCGAUGGACGUUUGCUGAAUUGUUGUGCGUUUUUGUCGGUGCAGUACAUGCGGGCGUCGCUCGAAGCAGCGGCGGUGGCGGCGGGGCACGAGGAGUGGGGCAGGGGCGGGCCGCACGACGCCGGCGAGUACAAGCAGAUGCCCGAGGAGACGGGCUUCUUCCGGCGCGACGGCACGUGGAGCACUGAGUACGGCCAGUUCUUCCUGGAGUGGUACUCCGGCAUGCUCCUGGAGCACGGCGACCGCGUCUUGGCCGCAGCCGAUGCCGUGUUCGGCGGCACGGGCGCCACGCUCUCGGCCAAGGUCGCCGGAAUCCACUGGCACUACGGGACCCGGUCGCACGCGGCGGAGCUCACGGCCGGGUACUACAACACGCGGCACCACGACGGGUACGCGCCCAUCGCGCGCAUGCUGGCCAAGCGCGGUGCCGUGCUCAACUUCACGUGCAUGGAGAUGAAGGACGAGCAGCAGCCGCAGCACGCCAGCUGCUCGCCCGAGCAGCUCGUGCAGCAGGUCAAGGCCGCUGCCAGCGCCGCCGGGGUGGAGCUCGCCGGCGAGAACGCGCUGGAGCGGUACGACGAAGCGGCGUUCUCGCAGGUGGUGUCAACGGCGCGCGGCGCGGGGCUGGCGGCGUUCACGUACCUGCGGAUGAACAAGGCGCUCUUCGACGGCGACAACUGGCGGGAGUUCGUGUCCUUCGUCCGGGCCAUGGCCGACGGCGGCGCGAGGCCGGCGCUGCCGCGGUGCGACACGGGGCACUCGGACCUGUACGUCGGGUUCCUCGACGCCGCCAAGGAGAGGAAAGCGCCGGAGGCCGAGGGCGCCGCCACCGCCGUGGCAUUGUAGGCCAAGGGUGGUGCCCCCAUGCCUGUGCGUGCGGACACACACACCGUGCUGUUGUGUAUGUGUAUGGUACGUGCAGCGGCGAAGGGGGGAACUGUAUAGAUUCAGGGGGCUUGCAGGUUGCAGAGUUUUAUAGGCUGUAAUCGAGCAGGUAGGUAAGCAGGCAGGCAAUGUGCAGAAGCCUAGGCUGUCUUCUGUUCCUUUGUUCAUUCGAAACUGUAUUAUAAGGAGCAGCUUCGUGACUGUACACCGUGUCGGGAAUUCAGCUGAAAAGAACUUGCAAUGCCAAUACUACUAAUUAGACUCUUUUUACGGGCUUGUGCAAAUAUUUUCAGAGUGACUGCAAAUUUUAUAGAAUUCAUACGAAAUUCUCGCAUUUCAAGAGAAAGGAGGCACAUAUGCCCAUAUCUGAACAUGCGCACCUCUCUCUCUGUUGCUGAUAGCCGAUUUCCCUCGUGAAGCACUUGACUGGGCCAAAGCUG
rnacentral:lncRNA from 1 species